ACAAGGACUGGACUGAAAAACGAGUGAAAACACAGUCAAUAUUUAAAGAAAGACUUUGAAAGACCGUCAGAAACCCUGGAGAACUGUUGCUCAAGACCAGUUAAAAUAUCUGAAAGUCUGGCUCCUUAGAAAGAAAAUCUAAAGAAGUACAAUAUUGCUUAUUAUUUUUAGGUUUGUGGGAGAUGUAUCACAUAGGGAAAGGAGAAAUAGGCUGCAGGCAAGCUCAGUGCGUGUCCAUAAGUGGGCAGCAGUGUACAGCAUUCAAGUUAAUGAUGAAUGAGUCUCUACCUCUACCUGCAGAAUGUCUAAAGCAGAGUGAAACAACACUGGUGCAAGCUGUAGUCUUAUUAGGAUCCACUAUAUCCUUGCAGAUUGUCAAUCCAAAGUGCUGAAGUCUUCUACCGCGAUUCUUCUUCCUUCCGAUUUCAAGGAUCAAAUGAUUUGAAUGUUUGUUAACCAGACUGGUUAAAUCAACUUAACGACUUCGUUCACACGCAGGAUUCUCAUUAACUCAACUUCUCAGCUUAAAAUAUGACACUUCAAGGCUCUGCUGAAACAGGAGACUAACAAACCACAUCGAGCUGGCCUUUAUCACUGAGAAAGAGUCAUUUAACAGGGUCAAAAACAACAAAUGGAUUAGGAGCAAAGGACUUAUGACAGGCUGAGGCACAGCCCUUCGUCUCAGUCGCUGAUUUACAAGUGCCGGAGAGCAGAGAUUCCUAAGCAGGCUGAGCGCAGUGAAGCUCAACACUGAAGCAGUGAGUGAGCGGUGAUUCCAGCAGAUCAGCCCCUGAGACGAAGGAAAACUGUCCUCAUGGACUCC